rnacentral:snRNA from 1 species
AUGCUAAUUUAACAAUAAAACCAAUCUAUAGCACAUGUACUAAAACUGGAAUGAUAUGGAGAAGAUUAGCAUGGCCCUUGUGCAAGGAUGACACGCAAAUUCAUGAAGCAUUCCACAGUUUA